UGGGGAAUAUUGCACAAUGGGCGCAAGCCUGAUGCAGCCAUGCCGCGUGUGUGAAGAAGGCCUUCGGGUUGUAAAGCACUUUCAGCGGGGAGGAAGGCGAUAAGGUUAAUAACCUUGUCGAUUGACGUUACCCGCAGAAGAAGCACCGGCUAACUCCGUGCCAGCAGCCGCGGUAAUACGGAGGGUGCAAGCGUUAAUCGGAAUUACUGGGCGUAAAGCGCACGCAGGCGGUCUGUCAAGUCGGAUGUGAAAUCCCCGGGCUUAACCUGGGAACUGCAUUCGAAACUGGCAGGCUAGAGUCUUGUAGAGGGGGGUAGAAUUCCAGGUGUAGCGGUGAAAUGCGUAGAGAUCUGGAGGAAUACCGGUGGCAAAGGCGGCCCCCUGGACAAAGACUGACGCUCAGGUGCGAAAGCGUGGGGAGCAAACAGG
rnacentral:rRNA from 1 species